rnacentral:tRNA from 1 species
UGGCCCAUCGUCUAAUGGCAGGACAACGGAUUCUGGUUCCGUCGGUCUAGGUUCGAGUCCUAGUGGGCCAGCCA